rnacentral:rRNA from 1 species
UGGGGAAUUUUGGACAAUGGGGGAAACCCUGAUCCAGCCAUCCCGCGUGUGCGAUGAAGGCCUUCGGGUUGUAAAGCACUUUUGGCAGGAAAGAAACGUCGCGGGUUAAUACCCCGCGAAACUGACGGUACCUGCAGAAUAAGCACCGGCUAACUACGUGCCAGCAGCCGCGGUAAUACGUAGGGUGCAAGCGUUAAUCGGAAUUACUGGGCGUAAAGCGUGCGCAGGCGGUUCGGAAAGAAAGAUGUGAAAUCCCAGAGCUUAACUUUGGAACUGCAUUUUUAACUACCGGGCUAGAGUGUGUCAGAGGGAGGUGGAAUUCCGCGUGUAGCAGUGAAAUGCGUAGAUAUGCGGAGGAACACCGAUGGCGAAGGCAGCCUCCUGGGAUAACACUGACGCUCAUGCACGAAAGCGUGGGGAGCAAACAGGAUUAGAUACCCUGGUAGUCCACGCCCUAAACGAUGUCAACUAGCUGUUGGGGCCUUCGGGCCUUGGUAGCGCAGCUAACGCGUGAAGUUGACCGCCUGGGGAGUACGGUCGCAAGAUUAAAACUCAAAGGAAUUGGACUGGGGUCGAUAGCUGUUUCCU